rnacentral:lncRNA from 1 species
AAGUGGUGGCCAGCCAUGCCAGAACAGGGUACUGAGAUGCCAGUUGCAGCACAGACUAUGUCUGAGAUAUUUGGAAAGCUGAAGCAAGAAGAAAGCGCAAAGCUACCUUAGCGUUUCACAGAGGCAUGAGAGAAAAGCAGAGUCUGAUGGAAACCCUGGCAAUUGGAUUCCUCUCCAAGGUUUUAUGUACUGAGGAGAAGCGGUGCAUGGUAAGAUUAACCUUGCUUGAUGACUGAGACCUGCUUUGGAAAAACAAGGCAAAUGUGCCCAGGCUCUGGAAGAGGGAGAAUUUGUCUUCUGACACACAUUUCUAUCUUCAGAAAUUCCUGACAAUCUACAGCCCUGUUAAGGCAUGAAAAAUAUGUCACUAGCGUUGACUCAAUACAGAGGCU